rnacentral:rRNA from 1 species
AGGGAACUGAAACAUCUAAGUACCUGGAGGAAAGGACAUCAACCGAGACUCCGCUAGUAGUGGCGAGCGAACGCGGACUAGGCCAGUGCUUCAACUGAGACAAGUGGAACCGUCUGGAAAGUCGGGCCGUAGCGGGUGACAGCCCCGUACACGUAAUGCAAGGUUGAAGACUCGAGUAGGGCGGGACACGUGCAAUCCUGCCUGAACAUGGGGGGACCACCCUCCAAGCCUAAGUACUCCUUACCGACCGAUAGCGCACCAGUACCGUGAGGGAAAGGUGAAAAGCACCCCGACGAGGGGAGUGAAAUAGAACCUGAAACCGGAUGCCUACAAACAGUCGGAGCCCGCAAGGGUGACGACGUACCUUUUGUAUAAUGGGUCUGCGACUUAGUCUGGCGAGCAAGCUUAAGGCGAUAGCUGUAGGCGAAGCGAAAGCGAGUCUGAACAGGGCGUUCAGUUCGUCGGACUAGACCCGAAACCAGUCGAUCUAUCCAUGCCAGGUUGAAAGCAGGGUAACACCUGCUGGAGGACC